CAUAGGCAGUGACUUGGUCAAGGAAACCUACCGGAGACAUAGCGAAAGCGAAUCUUCAUAAGAUUAUUGUUACUGAUUAUGAACCUGAAACGGAGUAAUUUAUUCAUGACCAGAAUGAAGCUUAGAUGAAACCAAAUGGAGGUCCGAACCGACUGAUGUUGAUGAAUCAGCGGAUGAGCUGUAGUUAGUGGUGAAAUACCAAUCGAACCCAGAGCUAGCUGG
rfam:Nicotiana attenuata strain TT chromosome 6, whole genome shotgun sequence.